rnacentral:rRNA from 1 species
AGCAGCCGCGGUAAUUCCAGCUCCAAUAGCGUAUAUUAAGGUUGUUGCAGUUAAAAAGCUCGUAGUUGAAUUUCAGGCCUGGCUGGACGGUCCGCCCUUCGGGUGAGUACUGUCUGUGGUCGGGUCCUACCUUCUGGCGAAGCGUCAUGGCCUUAACCGGCCGUGGCGGGGAACCAGGACUUUUACUGUGAAAAAAUUAGAGUGUUCAAAGCAGGCAAUCGCUUGGAUACAUUAGCAUGGAAUAAUGGAAUAGGACAAUGGUUCUAUUUGUUGGUUUCUAGGACCGUUGUAAUGAUUAAUAGGGAUAGUUGGGGGCAUUAGUAUUCAAUUGUCAGAGGUGAAAUUCUUGGAUUUAUUGAAGACUAACUACUGCGAAAGCAUUUGCCAAGGAUGUUUUCAUUAAUCAAGGACGAAAGUUAGGGGAUCGAAGACGAUCAGAUACCGUCGUAGUCUUAACCAUAAACUAUGCCGACUAGGAAUCGGGCGAUGUUGAAAAAAUGACGC